CACAGUCUCAGCCCACUGCCUAGAGCUCCAGCAGGAAGGUGGAGGUAGCCAAAGCCAUGAAAUCUGCCAACAUAGUGGUCCUGGAGAAGAAGAGGAGCUCUGAUGUGGAGACAGUCAGUAUCAGCUCCAUGGAAGUCAGUUUUAACUCUAGGACACAACCUAGAAUGAAGUGGAUCCAGCUGAGAACAGGAAACUGGGGCUACAAUUCACCAAAAUUGGACAAUAGAAGAUUGGAAAAAUGUCGCCUGGCCUGAUGAGUCUCUGUUUCAGCUGUGACAUUCAGAUGGUAGGGUCAGCAUGAAAGCAUGGAUCCAUCCUGCCUUGUAGCAACAGUUCGGGCUGGUGGUGGUGUAAUGGUGUGGGUGACAUUUUCUUGGCACACAUUGGGCCCCUUUGUACCAACUGAGCAUCGUUUAAACGCCACAGCCUACUUGAGAAUUGUUGCUGACCAUGUCCACCCCUUUAUGACCACAGUGUUCCCAUCUUCUCAUGGCUACUUCCAGCAGGAUAAUGCACCAUUCUUGAACAUGACAAUAAGUUCACUGUACUCCAACGGCCUCAAUCCAAAAGCGCACCUUUGGG